rnacentral:tRNA from 5 species
GGAGACGUGGCUGAGUGGCUGAAAGCGGCGGUUUGCUAAACCGUUGUACUCCAAAAGGGUACCACAGGUUCGAAUCCUGUCGUCUCCGCCA